rnacentral:rRNA from 1 species
UUGCACGCUGGCGGCAGGCCUCACACAUGCAGGUCGAGCGGAUGAAGGGAGCUUGCUCCUGGAUUCAGCGGCGGACGGGUGAGUAAUACCUAGGAAUCUGCCUGGUAGUGGGGGAUAACGUCCGGAAACGGGCGCUAAUACCGCAUACGUCCUGAGGGAGAAAGUGGGGGAUCUUCGGACCUCACGCUAUCAGAUGAGCCUAGGUCGGAUUAGCUAGUUGGUGGGGUAAAGGCCUACCAAGGCGACGAUCCGUAACUGGUCUGAGAGGAUGAUCAGUCACACUGGAACUGAGACACGGUCCAGACUCCUACGGGAGGCAGCAGUGGGGAAUAUUGGACAAUGGGCGAAAGCCUGAUCCAGCCAUGCCGCGUGUGUGAAGAAGGUCUUCGGAUUGUAAAGCACUUUAAGUUGGGAGGAAGGGCAGUAAGUUAAUACCUUGCUGUUUUGACGUUACCAACAGAAUAAGCACCGGCUAACUUCGUG